UACGUAGGGUGCGAGCGUUAAUCGGAAUUACUGGGCGUAAAGCGUGCGCAGGCGGUUCUCCAAGUCCGUUGUGAAAGCCCCGGGCUCAACCUGGGAAUGGCAGUGGAAACUAGGGGACUGGAAUCUGGCAGAGGGGGGUGGAAUGCCGCGUGUAGCAGUGAAAUGCGCAGAUAUCAGGAGGAACACCGGUGGCGAAGGCGGGUCUCUGGGCCGAUACUGACGCUGAGGCACGAAAGCGUGGGGAGCAAACAGG
rnacentral:rRNA from 1 species